GCAGCUGUAGCUCAUCUGGGAGAGCGUCAGACUGAAGUCCACUUUGGUCUUCCUAUAUAAGGAAAACAAUCUGAAGGCACUGUGUUCGAUCCACAGCAGCUGCA